AACGCUAGCUACAGGCUUAACACAUGCAAGUCCAGGGGCAGCGGGGUUGAAGCUUGCUUCAACCGCCGGCGACCGGCGCACGGGUGAGUAACACGUAUCCAACCUGCCCAUAACUCUGGGAUAGCCUUUCGAAAGAAAGAUUAAUACCGGAUGGCAUAGUUUUCCCGCAUGGAAUAACUAUUAAAGAAUUUCGGUUAUCGAUGGGGAUGCGUUCCAUUAGGCAGUUGGCGGGGUAACGGCCCACCAAACCGACGAUGGAUAGGGGUUCUGAGAGGAAGGUCCCCCACAUUGGAACUGAGACACGGUCCAAACUCCUACGGGAGGCAGCAGUGAGGUUUUUUGGUCAAUGGACGAGAGUCUGAACCAGCCAAGUAGCGUGAAGGAUGACUGCCCUAUGGCCCCCCCACUUCUUUUAUACGGGAAUAAAGUUGGCCACGUGUGGGUUUUUUGCAUGUACCGUAUGAAUAAGGAUCGGCUAACUCCGUGCCAGCAGCCGCGGUAAUACGGAGGAUCCGAGCGUUAUCCGGAUUUAUUGGGUUUAAAGGGAGCGUAGGCGGGGUAUUAAGUCAGUUGUGAAAGUUUGCGGCUCAACCGUAAAAUUGCAGUUGAUACUGGUAUCCUUGAGUGCAGCAGAGGUGGGCGGAAUUCGUGGUGUAGCGGUGAAAUGCUUAGAUAUCACGAAGAACUCCGAUUG
rnacentral:rRNA from 1 species